UUAAUCGCCAAAAAACUAGCCAAGAGUGACACAAUGGAUUCAAUAAAAAUGUUAAAUUCAUACCAUAAGUUCAGAGGCGGUGUCAGAAGGGCAGUAAGGGGAUAAUUGCCCCCCCCCCUCAUCGAAACGGUUAUAGAGAAUUGGGCAUUAACGAAUAUGAUGAUUUAAAAGUCAUCUUAAAGUUAAUAUACGGUAAACAAUCGAAAUAUCCAAAUAACGGUUUAAGCGGUUUGACUCAACACCUCCUAAAAGUACAAAGCCGUUGCUCUUUCUGAAACGCCAACGGAUGAGUCAUAUAGGAACCAGUUUGACGAGUAGUAGUUGACUGUGAGUAGCAAGUGCUUAGAAUGUCUUCAAACUGUUGUCUGUAGCUUCCUAUCUUCUAUGUUUCUUUCAGAAAACUACAUAUUAGGGAAAUACCGCAUUUGUAUUUUUCAUAAAUCGAUGCUUUAUUCAAUAAGAUAAUGUUUUUCCGCUGUUCAAUUUUUAACUGCAAAGGAAAUUAUAAGUGUCCGUUUUUAAAUUUUCUGAGGAUGAAAAAUGAAAAGCGCAAUGGAUUCAUAGGCUCUUUCGUAAGGAUUUCAAGUCAAACAAAAGCUCAAGAGUCUGUGUACUGCAUUUUAGAGAAGAAGACAUUAUAAGAAAUAUGGAAUAUUUUCAUGAAGAAUAAUGUAUUUUUGUAUAGUUUGUUGUAAAGUAUAUAUAAUAUAGUUAAUUAGUGAUGU